rnacentral:rRNA from 1 species
GUGUGAAUUGCAGGAUCCCGUGAACCAUCGAGUCUUUGAACGCAAGUUGCGCCCGAAGCCUCGGCUGAGGGCACGUCUGCCUGGGUGUCACACAUCGCGUUGCCUCCAGAUCCUUCACCCCUCGGACGUUGCGGUGAUGGUCCGGAUGCGGAAGCUGGCCUCCCGUGACCGCGCGCCACGGAUGGCCCAAACACGUGCUGGGGAAGCGAAGCGCCACGGGAUUCGGUGGUCGAUCUAAGCCCCAGAAGCAGUGCCGGCGGUGGCCGCGUACGUCCCCAGUCCACGACCCUAAACGCUAACCGACGAGACCUCAGGUCAGGCGGGGCUACCCG